rnacentral:rRNA from 1 species
AUACAGAGGGAGCAAGCGUUGUUCGGAUUUACUGGGCGUAGAGCGCGCGCAGGCGGGCGGAUAAGUCGGACGAGAAAAUUGUGGGCUCAACCUACAACCUGCGUCCGAAACUGUUCGUCUUGAGUACAGGAGAGGUGAGUGGAAUCGGCAGUGUAGCGGUGAAAUGCGUAGAUAUUGUCGAGAACACCGGUGGCGAAGGCGGCUCACUGGCCUGAUACUGACGCUGAGGCGCGAAAGCGUGGGGAGCAAACAGGAUUAGAUACCCCAGUAGUCC